GGGCCCGCACAAGCGGUGGAGUAUGUGGUUUAAUUCGAUGCAACGCGAAGAACCUUACCAGGGUUUGACAUCCUGCGAAUCUCUUGGAAACUUGAGAGUGCCUUCGGGAGCGCAGUGACAGGUGGUGCAUGGCUGUCGUCAGCUCGUGUCGUGAGAUGUUGGGUUAAGUCCCGCAACGAGCGCAACCCACGUCUUUAGUUGCCAGCAUUUAGUUGGGCACUCUAGAGAGACCGCCGGUGAUAAACCGGAGGAAGGUGUGGAUGACGUCAAGUCAUCAUGCCCCUUACAUCCUGGGCUACACACGUACUACAAUGCUACGGACAAAGGGCAGCAAGUUCGCGAGGACAAGCAAA
rnacentral:rRNA from 1 species